UCCUUCGUGGUGUAGUGGUCAGCACGCUGGGCGCGUAUUCCAGAGGUCCGUGGUUCGAAUCUCUGCGAAGGCG
rnacentral:tRNA from 1 species